GACGAACGCUAGCGGCGUGCCUAAUACAUGCAAGUAGAACGCAGUUGCGCACGGGUGAGUAACGCGUAGGUAACUGCCUCAUAGCGGGGGAUAACUAUUGGACACGAUAGCUAAUACCGCACACUGUGAGAUGGACCUGCGUUGUAUUAGCUAGUUGGAGAGGUAAAGGCGCACCAAGGCGACGAUACAUAGCCGACCUGAGAGGGUGAAAGGGCAAAAUGGGACGGAGACACUGCCCAGACUCCUAAGGGAGGCAGCAGUAGGGAAACUUCGGAAAUGGGAGGAAGUCUUGCCGAGAAACGCCGCGGGAGUGAAUGAGGUUUUCGGAUCGGAAAGGUCUGUUGUUAGAGAAGCGGUAACUAACCAGAAAGGGACGGCUAACGACGUGCCAGCAGCCGCGGUAAUAC
rnacentral:rRNA from 1 species